rnacentral:rRNA from 1 species
AUUGAACGCUGGCGGCAUGCUUUACACAUGCAAGUCGAACGGCAGCGCGGGCUUCGGCCUGGCGGCGAGUGGCGAACGGGUGAGUAAUGCAUCGGAACGUGCCCAGUAGUGGGGGAUAGCCCGGCGAAAGCCGGAUUAAUACCGCAUACGACCUGAGGGUGAAAGCGGGGGACCGAAAGGCCUCGCGCUAUUGGAGCGGCCGAUGUCGGAUUAGCUAGUUGGUGGGGUAAAGGCUUACCAAGGCGACGAUCCGUAGCUGGUCUGAGAGUACGACCAGCCACACUGGGACUGAGACACGUCCCAGACUCCUACGGGAGGCAGCAGUGGGGAAUUUUGGACAAUGGGGGCAACCCUGAUCCAGCCAUGCCGCGUGCGGGAAGAAGGCCUUCGGGUUGUAAACCGCUUUUGUUCGGGAAGAAAUCCUCUGGGCUAAUACCCCGGGGGGAUGACGGUACCGGAAGAAUAAGCACCGGCUAACUACGUG